rnacentral:rRNA from 1 species
AAAAAUUGUUAAAGUAGUCUACAACCAUGCCUGAUCCCAUCUGAUCUCGGAAGCUAAGCAGUAUGGGGCCUGGUUAGUACUUGGAUGGGAGACCGCCAAGGAAUACGAGGUGCUGUAGGUA